rnacentral:rRNA from 1 species
UACGUAGGGCGCAAGCGUUAUCCGGAAUUAUUGGGCGUAAAGAGCUCGUAGGCGGUUUGUCACGUCUGCUGUGAAAACUGGAGGCUCAACCUCCAGCCUGCAGUGGGUACGGGCAGACUAGAGUGCGGUAGGGGAGAUUGGAAUUCCUGGUGUAGCGGUGGAAUGCGCAGAUAUCAGGAGGAACACCGAUGGCGAAGGCGGCUCUCUGGAACGGUACUGACGCUGAGACGCGAAAGCGUGGGGAGCGAACAGG